rnacentral:tRNA from 1 species
CGCGGGGUGGAGCAGUUGGCAGCUCGUCGGGCUCAUAACCCGAAGGUCGUAGGUUCAAGUCCUGUCCCCGCAACCA